GAUGAACGCUGGCGGCGUGGAUAAGGCAUGCAAGUCAAGGGGGCUCGCAAGAGCAACCGGCAAACGGGGUAGUAACAGGUGGGAACGUACCAAGAAGUCAUGAAUAACCUAUCGAAAGAUUGGCUAAUACAUGAUAGUCCCUACGGGGUAAAGAUUUAUCGCCAGAGGAUGAGCCCGCGUAGGAUUAGCUAGUUGGUGUGGUAAAGGCGCACCAAGGCGACGAUCCUUAGCUGGUCUGAGAGGAUGAUCAGCCACACUGGGACUGAGACACGGCCCAGACUCCUACGGGAGGCAGCAGUGGGGAAUAUUGGACAAUGGGCGAAAGCCUGAUCCAGCAAUGCCGCGUGAGUGAUGAAGGCCUUAGGGUUGUAAAGCUCUUUUACCCGGGAUGAUAAUGACAGUACCGGGAGAAUAAGCUCCGGCUAACUCCGUGCCAGCCGCCGCCGUAA
rnacentral:rRNA from 1 species